GAUGAACGCUGGCGGCGUGCCUAACACAUGCAAGUCGAGCGAACAGACGAGGAGCUUGCGCCUUCGACGUUAGCGGCGGACGGGUGAGUAACACGUAGGUAACCUACCUAUAAGACUGGGAUAACAACGGGAAACCGGAGCUAAGACCGGAUAAUAUUUCGAACCGCAUGGGUCGAUAGUGAAAGAUGGCUGUGCUAUCACUUAUAGAUGGACCUGCGCCGUAUUAGCUAGUUGGUAAGGAAACGGCUUACCAAGGCAACGAUACGUAGCCGACCUGAGAGGGUGGUCGGCCACACUGGAUCUGAGACACGGUCCCGACUCCUGCGGUAGGCCGCAGUCCGGACUCUUCCGCGAUGGACGAGAGCCUGACAGAGCACCGCCGCGUGAGUCAUGAAGGUGUUCGGAUCGGUGAGCUCUGUUAUUCGUGGAGAACAAACGUGUAAUUACCUGUGCACAUAUUGACGGUACCUGGUCAAAAAGCCCCGGCUAACUCCGUG
rnacentral:rRNA from 1 species